rnacentral:lncRNA from 1 species
AAGAUGUUUCCCCAAGCUUAUCAUUGAGGCACCCUUGCGAUGAUUUUUUUGGAGAAGUUUCUCCAAUGGGUAGCCUAAGAGAAGAUCUAAAUCGAGGACGACAAAGAUGUGGAAAUCAAUAUGAACCUUGGUUUUGUCUAUUUUAAUUGGCACGGCCCUUGCAAUCCCUCAACAUUCAAAGAUAAGUGCCGAGGGACUUUUGAGGAGUUUGUCAAUCAGGACUAGAGGCAUGUUUCCAAAAGAAAGUGUUUGUCAGGAAUUUGGACAUGAUACAAGCCUCAGCAGUGGGGACGUGAAGGGCUUCUAUGGCAGUUCCCCUCAUCGAACAACAGAUGGUCAUGGUCGGGGAUAGAUCCCUAGUACCCGCAAGGAAGGAAGAAGACGGACUCCUACUAGAAUUCCUCUGUAAUCCUCCUAGGACUCAUACCACGUAAUCCUACUAGGACUCUUCCUUGUAACCGACUAGUUAUCCCACCUCCUGGAGUAUAUAAAGAAGGGCAGGGGUACCUAGAUCAGCAGGGACAACAAAGGAUCAAAUUCUCAUACCUCAACACCCAAGCGCAGGGCAUAAUAUACAACACCCCAAACAAGACGUAGGGUAUUAUGGUACUUAGGCGGCUCAAACCUAUAUAAAUUUAUAUCUUGUGUCCUUGCUUUUACCUUCAAGUUCUAGGUUCAGCGAUUCCCCACCAACCAAUCUACCACCUUGGGUAACCCCUCG